rnacentral:rRNA from 1 species
CAGUAGCCGCGGGAACACAGAGGGUGCAAGCGUUAAUCGGAUUUACUGGGCGUAAAGCGUGCGUAGGCGGCUUUUUAAGUCGGAUGUGAAAUCCCUGAGCUUAACUUAGGAAUUGCAUUCGAUACUGGGAAGCUAGAGUAUGGGAGAGGAUGGUAGAAUUCCAGGUGUAGCGGUGAAAUGCGUAGAGAUCUGGAGGAAUACCGAUGGCGAAGGCAGCCAUCUGGCCUAAUACUGACGCUGAGGUACGAAAGCAUGGGGAGCAAACAGGAUUAGAUACCCGUGUAGUCCCUGUCUCUUAUAA